GGAGAGUUUGAUCCUGGCUCAGGAUGAACGCUGGCGGCGUGCUUAAUACAUGCAAGUCGAACGAAGCUCCUUUUCUUCGGAUGAGGAGUCUUAGUGGCGAACGGGUGCGUAACGCGUUGGUAACCUGCCCCAAAGAGGGGGAUAACAGUUCGAAAGGACUGCUAAUACCCCAUACGAUCAUCAGGGUUAGAUACUUGAUGAUUAAAGGAGUAAUCCGCUUUGGGAGGGGCCUGCGUCCCAUCAGCUAGUUGGUAGGGUAAUGGCCUACCAAGGCGAUGACGGGUAGGGGACCUGAGAGGGUGGCCCCCCACACUGGCACUGAAAUACGGGCCAGACACCUACGGGUGGCAGCAGUAGGGAAUAUUGGACAAUGGGCGAAAGCCUGAUCCAGCAACGCCGCGUGCACGAUGACGGCCU
rnacentral:rRNA from 1 species